GAUUAGAUACCCUGGUAGUCCACGCCGUAAACGAUGGAUACUCGCUGCGGGCUAAAGAUUGUCCGUGGCUUAGGGAAACCGAUAAGUAUCCCACCUGGGGAGUACGCCGGCAACGGUGAAACUCAAAGGAAUUGACGGGGGCCCGCACAAGUGGUGGAGCAUGUGGUUUAAUUCGAUGAUACGCGAGGAGCCUUACCUAGGCUAGAAUGCGCGUGACCGGCUCAGAGAUGAGCCUUUCCUUCGGGACACAAAGCAAGGUGCUGCAUGGCCGUCGUCAGCUCGUGCCGUGAGGUGUUGGGUUAAGUCCCGCAACGAGCGCAACCCCUAUGGUUAGUUGCCAGCACGUAAUGGUGGGGACUCUAGCCAGACUGCCUGCGCAAGCAGUGAGGAAGGCGGGGACGACGUCAGGUCAUCAUGGCCCUUACGCCUAGGGCGACACACGUGCUACAAUGGACGGUACAGCGGGUAGCUACCAGGCGACUGGAUGCCAAUCUCGAAAAGCCGUUCUCAGUUCGGAUCGGAGUCUGCAACUCGACUCCGUGAAGCUGGAAUCACUAGUAAUCGCGCAUCAGCCAUGGCGCGGUGAAUACGUUCCCGGGCCUUGUACACACCGCCCGUCAAGCCAUGAAAGUCUGGUAGACCUGAAGCUGGUGCUCGUCACAGAAGCCAGUUAGGGUAGAACAGG
rnacentral:rRNA from 1 species